GAUGAACGCUGGCGGCGUGCUUAACACAUGCAAGUCGAACGGAAAGGCCCUGCCUUUGUGGGGUGCUCGAGUGGCGAACGGGUGAGUAACACGUGAGUAACCUGCCCUUGACUUUGGGAUAACUCCAGGAAACUGGGGCUAAUACCGGAUAGGACGUCCUGCUGCAUGGCGUUGGUGGGAGAUUUUCUGCGGUUGGGGAUGGACUCGCGGCAUAUCAGCUUGUUGGUGGGGUAGUGGCUUACCAAGGCGUUGACGGGUAGCCGGCCUGAGAGGGUGAACGGCCACAUUGGGACUGAGAUACGGCCCAGACUCCUACGGGAGGCAGCAGUGGGGAAUAUUGCACAAUGGGCGGAAGCCUGAUGCAGCAACGCCGCGUGCGGGAUGACGGCCUUCGGGUUGUAAACCGCUUUCGCCUGUGACGAAGCGUGAGUGACGGUAAUUGGUAAAGAAGCACCGGCUAACUACGUG
rnacentral:rRNA from 1 species